UUUGCCAUCUUACUCUGUUGGUUCGGCUUCAAAUCUGUGUUGCUUGCGGGAUAGGGCGUUCGGAUUUGAGCAUCUGCUGGCAGGGAAGAUGAUUCGGAUAGUAUGGCUGAGUGUGUGGAAUACGCAUUGCGAUGCAAAACCAUAGAAAGCUAUACAUUGAAAAGACGACAAAACGAACGUUGUGGUCGUAAUAAUAAGGGGCUAUUGUGUUUCUAGCGCGCACCUUUAGACACUGACAGCCUCCUACAAGAAGGCCGUCCAGCCUCCGCAGCCUAAAAAUUUCACGCCAACAUUACUGCCAACCGGAGGAGAGAUACCGAUGCUAUACAUGACUCACACCCAGGCUGCCUCUACAUAUUUGGCCUGGACUUGGGUCUCCUAAAGCGGUAUCCCGCCUGUCCAUAAAUCCGAGACUGCACAGAGAGGUAACAAAACCAUCGUGAUAUCCACACCAUAACUGCGGAUAAAGGCUAUGCUCGCGUUUAAUUUGUGUACGUCUGUUUUAUCGCACCUCUGCGCAAAAGUAUUGGGCUCUCUGUCUCAACCGUUGCUUGUUGGACAGCGUAAGGUAGCAGAGUGGACAACGCUGGCUGUCUUCCACCUGUCUUUGCUCCUGGAUUGUUCACUGCACUCCAGGAAUAAUAUUUUUUUUUACAUUGGCCAGAGAGGGCUUGGUCAGAACUUUAGGUACAACACAGUGCAGAGCUUUUAUGGAAGGAUAACUUCUGCAGCCUCCACAUGAAACAUUAUUAACACCACCAUCUGAAAGCUAAAGCUGUAGCAAUCUACCAUAGUUAAGUGAGGUAGACCGCAUCUUUGAAGCGUAACCCAACCACCAAGACCAAGGGUCUCCGGUUAUCUAAUCCCCACCAACCUUUUGCCAGCUCCUGUAACAACAACUCCAAACUUCCUGCUUUGGCCUUUCCCCCGCAGCCACCAUGCGUCCCUCACUUGCCACAGCGGUCCUUCCAAGGACCCGUAACCAUCCCCACGCGGCCCACCCCCACAAUGCACACGGAUUGUCCGGACACUUGGGACGGGAGCACCUGUCAGCGCCUCGGAGGCGCAGCCCGCACCUGCGACACACACUCAGCCCGGAGAACCUUCGGUGCCUGGCAGAGCGCGGUGGCGCCGCCGGGGACAUGGCUUCCGUGGUGAGUAGCCCCAUUGGCCUCCCGAGGGCCAACAGUGACACGGACCUGGUGACGUCGCAGAGCCGUUCGUCGCUGACGGCGUCCACGCUGGAGUUCACGCUGGGUAGGGGCGAGAACCUGGUCAUCUCCUGGGACAUCAAGGAGGAGGUGGAUGCCACCGACUGGAUUGGCCUCUACCACAUCGAUGAGACCAGCCCGUCUAAUGUGUGGGACUGUAAGAAUCGCGGGGUGAAUGGGACACAGAGGGGUCAGAUUGUCUGGAGACUGGAGCCUGGUCCUUACUUCAUGGACGCUGAGACCAGGAUCUGCUUCAAGUACUACCACGGUGUCAGUGGAGCCCUGAGAGCAACCACCCCCUGCAUCACUGUGAAAAACCCUGGAGUCCUGGGAGAAGGUCAAAGUGAGGGGCAGUCAUCCACAGAUCAUCCUCGCAAACUAAUCAGCUUUACUUUAACGGAUAUGCGUGCGGUGGGGCUGAAGAAGGGAAUGUUCUUCAACCCGGAUCCCUAUCUGAAGAUGUCCAUCCACCCUGGGAAGAGGAGCGGCUUCCCCACCUUCAGCCACCAUGGACAGGAGAGACGCUCCGCCAUCAUCGCCAACACCACCAACCCUAAGUGGCACGGAGAGAAAUACACUUUCGUAGCACUGAUGACAGAUAUUCUGAACAUCGAGGUGAAGGACAAGUUUGCCAAAAGUCGACCAAUCAUCAAGCGCUUCCUUGGUCAGCUGACCAUUCCUGUCCAGAGGCUGAUUGAGAAGAUACCUGGUGUCCAGCCUCUGAGCUUCUCUCUGUGUCGACGGUUGCCCACUGAGCAUGUGAGUGGCCAGAUGCAGUUCAAAGUGGAGCUUACAUCCACUGGACCUGACGGGGCCUCACUAGACUUUAUCAUCGGUGUGCCCAAUAAUGGGGCCCCGGGGACUCCGUCAGAUGACGAGGAUCUGCCACAUCCACUCCCAGGGGUGGUCACUGGAGGCCCCUCCCCUACUGGCUCUCUGGGCUCACAGAGGUCCUGGGAAGGCGGGGCCACAGCUUAUCCAGUCCCAGACUACAGGGACUUCAUCGGUACAGAGGGCGGAACCACAGAGGGUGAAUCCUACUCUGGCCCUCAACGGCUGCAGAGGUCCCUAAGUGAAGGCCUGGAUGCCAUCGAGGCCCCCAAGGGUCCCGGAGAGAGGCCCCUAGGCGCUGCCUCCCCGAAGCUGCGGUCUAGCUUUCCCACUCACACACGUCUCAGCGCCAUGCUGCACAUUGACUCGGACGAAGAAGAGGAGCGCUCGGGGUCCACUGACAUCUACCCGGUGCCCGGGUCCCCCCUGCUGCUCAACGGCGGCCAUGACGAAGAUCUCUUCCCAGAGCUACAACAGGACUCUGACACUGAGCAGCCUCAGCCCAGGGUGGAGGGUGAUGAACAGGAGGGGGUAAAGGGGGAAGAAUGUGCCACUGGUGGUGAAUCUUAUGUGGCCCCUGAGUUAGACCUGGCCCUCGACUUGGAAGACUCCUCUGAGCCUGAUGUUUUCUCAGAGGUGGAGGAAGUUCCUUUCUUCUCAGAGGUGCUGUCCCAGAGUCUUUUGACUGAGGUCCUGGAGGGGCCAGAAGAGCGCCAGGGGCCUGCUGACGACCCCUCGUCGGAGAUUGACUCAUGCUCCAUGGCAACAGCCCCACAGACAGUCUUCUCUUCCUCAGAGAGUUGCCCAAUCACGAUGUCCACAGCUCAGGAGGUGGAUGCAGGGGCAGAAACUGCCAUUGACCCAGGAGGAGAUACCAUCACCGACAACUCACCCACCAGUCAGCAUGUAGACGAUGAGGGAGAUGAGCAGACGCCAGCCAAUGAGGUUGAAGGAGAUGCUCCAUCAGCCAAUGAGCUCGAGCCAGGAGAGGAGAUAAGUGAGCUUAGGCGGAGCUUGCAGGCAUCUGGGGGGGUGUCCCAGGAUGAGGUGGGGGAGGAGCCAAGGCCAGCGGGAGAUGCAGGAUCUGUGGAUUCAGAUGCAGUUGCCACGGAGACGGAUGGAGAGGACGGUGCUCAAGUGAACGGUCACCCCGUUCACUCGCUCCCCACAGUGCGCCAUGACAUCCACCGAUACCAACGAGUGGACGAACCCUUACCUCCUAACUGGGAGGCGAGGAUCGAUAGUCACGGUCGUAUUUUCUUUGUGGAUCAUGUGAACCGGACCACCACGUGGCAGCGCCCCACCGGACCACCUGCCCCCCAGGGCCUGACCCGCUCCAACUCCAUCCAACAGAUGGAGCAGCUCAACCGCAGGUAUCAGAGCAUAAGGAGGACGAUGACCAGCGAGAGGUCCGAGGAGAACACAGUUGACCUCCCGCCAGAGCUCACAGAGAGUGACCUUCUACCCCAGACCAUCCCUGAGUACAGGAGAGAGAGUGCGGUGGGUCACUCCAGCUCCCGGUCGCGUCUCUCUCUGCUGCUCCAGUCCCCCAGCGCAAAGUUCCUGUGCAGCCCAGACUUCUUCACCAUGCUGCAUUCUAACCCUAGUGCCUACCGCAUGUUUACGAGCAACACUUGCCUGAAGCACAUGAUCAGUAAGGUGCGUCGGGACGCCCACCACUAUGAGCGCUACCAGCACAACAGGGACCUGGUGGCCUUUCUCAAUAUGUUCACCAACAAACAGCUGGAGCUACCCAGGGGCUGGGAGAUGAAGCACGACCAGUCCGGCAAGCCCUUCUUUGUGGAUCACAAUCGUCGUUCCACUACCUUCAUCGACCCACGGCUCCCCCUCCAGAGUGCACGCUCCACUGGCCUGUUGACCCACCGCCAGCACCUCAGCCGCCAACGCAGCCACAGCGCAGGCGAGGUGGUAGAUGACACGCGACACUCCAACCCACCUGUCAUGCCCCGCCCCUCCAGCACCUUCAGUGGGUCCACUCGCAAUCAAUACCAGGACCUCGUGCCUGUAGCCUACAAUGACAAGAUCGUGGCAUUUCUACGGCAACCCAACAUCAUUGAGAUCCUGCAAGAGAGGCAACCAGAACUCGUCAGGAACCACUCACUCAAGGAAAGGUUACAGUUCAUUCGCAGCGAGGGUGUUUCUGGGCUUGCUCGUCUCUCUAGCGAUGCUGAUCUAGUCAUUUUGCUCAGCCUGUUUGACGAGGAGGUCAUGUCCUAUGUGCCACCUGCUGCCUUACUGCACCCUAGCUACUGCUCCUCCCCUCAAAGCUCCCCUGGUACUCAGAGAGCUAAUGCACGUGCGCCUGCCCCGUACAAACGUGACUUUGAGGCCAAACUGAGAAACUUCUAUCGCAAGCUGGAGACAAAGGGCUAUGGCCAAGGACCUGGGAAAGUCAAAUUGAUCGUUCGUAGAGAUCACCUGUUGGAGGAUGCCUUCAAUCAGAUCAUGUGCUACUCACGCAAAGACCUGCAGAGGAGUAAGCUGUAUGUCAGCUUUGUGGGAGAGGAAGGGCUGGACUACAGCGGCCCUUCGAGGGAGUUCUUCUUCUUGGUGUCAAGGGAGUUGUUUAACCCUUACUACGGUCUGUUUGAGUACUCUGCCAACGACACCUACACUGUGCAGAUCAGCCCCAUGUCUGCCUUCGUGGACAACCAUCACGAGUGGUUUCGUUUCAGUGGGCGUAUCCUGGGCCUGGCUCUGAUCCACCAGUAUCUGUUGGAUGCCUUCUUUACCCGCCCGUUCUACAAGGGCCUGCUGCGUAUCCCAUGUGACCUGAGUGACCUGGAGUUCCUGGAUGAGGAGUUCCACCAGAGUUUACAGUGGAUGAAGGACAAUGACAUCGAGGACAUGCUGGACCUCACGUUCACCGUCAACGAGGAGGUCUUCGGGCAGAUCACAGAGCGAGAGCUGAAGCCAGGCGGUGCAGGUGUUCCAGUGUCAGAGAAGAAUAAGAAGGAGUACAUCGAGCGUAUGGUUAAGUGGCGCAUCGAAAGGGGUGUGGCUCAGCAGACUGAGAGCCUGGUGCGAGGCUUCUAUGAGGUGGUGGACGUGAGGCUGGUGUCUGUGUUUGAUGCCAGAGAGCUGGAGCUGGUGAUUGCUGGCACUGCAGAGAUCGACCUGGCCGACUGGAGGAACAACACAGAGUACAGAGGAGGUUACCAUGACAACCACAUAGUCAUUCGCUGGUUCUGGGCAGCAGUGGAGAGGUUCAACAAUGAGCAGAGACUCCGACUGCUGCAGCCCUGUUUCCACUGGUAUUUAUCUGGUAUUGAAGUUUGUGACAGGCACCUCCAGUAUUCCCUAUGAGGGCUUUGCCUCCCUCAGAGGUAGCAAUGGACCACGAAGGUUCUGUGUGGAGAAGUGGGGUAAAAUAACCUCCUUACCCAGGGCUCACACAUGCUUUAACCGUCUGGACCUCCCGCCGUACCCUUCGUUCUCCAUGCUCUAUGAGAAGAUGCUGACAGCCGUAGAGGAAACCAGCACCUUUGGCCUGGAGUAAACUCUCCAAAAUGGCUGCCACAGCCAGGGGUCGAAUUGGGAAAGAACAAUGGCGGAGAGGAAAUCCUGUCACCUUAGCUUGAGGCGAGACAGUACUCACAGUACACAAUGGAAACUGAAUAGACAUCUACCAGAAAUUAUCAUUUUGGAGAAGCAACAGAACUUUUGGGGACAAUUUCACCACCAAGACUAUCCCAAUUUGCCCCCCCCCCCUUGGCUAUACCUCCCGCCUCCAUGAUCCCAGACUUCCUGGAAUCAUGUUACUGUUCCAUUACCUGCACUGAUGCCCUCCAUUUGAUUCCUGUGUACAACAACCACACUUGUGCUUUAUCUCUUAUCUGUUUAUUGGCCUUGGUUACUGUAUCUCCUUUUUCCUACAGGGGCUCAGCCUGCCCUUCAAGUCCAGAGACAUCUCUUCCUAAUACCCUAUGCUUCCUCCUGGAUUGACCCCCUGUUCUGGACCUCGGAACUGUGUCUUUCUACUCUGGGACUGGAGACUACGUACACUAUAAUACAUAAUUUGACUAAAUCCUUGUCUUCAUACACACACUCAUUCACUCUCACACACUUUCAAGAUGACUCUCAUGAUUAAUUUCUGAGGGGAUUAAAUUGGAUGUCACAGCUUCUAAGGUGCACCAAAGGCAUUGACUCACUCCAAAACACAUUGUACUUGUCUUCUUAUGCUAGACUACAUGAGCAAGGCUCUAAAACUGGCACACACUAACUCACGAUAACAAAUACAAUUGUAGGGUCACUCUUUUUCAAAAUAAAUGAGAUGCACAUUCUCAUACACAUAUGUAGCUACACACACACACACACACACACACACACACACACUGAGACAUUGCCUAACAUGGCUCUAUUUCUCACUAAUGAUAUUGCCUCCCAUCCACUGAACUGAUGAAUGUAUCACAUAAAAGGCUGAAUGUAUGAAACUUCAGCACCUCUGGCUUGCUGUAGUAGGAGGAGGAGCCUUUGCGGCCAAAGACAAACACCGGAGCCACACCAGGAAGUGGAUCACCUAAAAUUGGUUGAAUAUGGAAGCCAAGGCUGAAAGUGGCACCGGACACGUGCCUUGUUAUGACAGACACUUUCACUCAGUGUUUUGAGGAGGGUUGGUUGGGGACCCGAUAGUGGGGCGCACCCAUUUCUUCCUCUUGGGUCACAGCUCGAAAAGUUGUAAUGAGAGACUUUGUAAUGUUUAUUUGGUCGGCCAAAAGAACAUUCAAAUGGUGUGUUACACACAACAAAAACAGAGCUACAACUCUUAAUUGUAUUCUAAAAUAGUUCCAGGAUACAAACACGAGGGCAGCACAUGAUAUGGUACUUACUUCAGUACCGUACACACAGCUAUGGAAGCAUCUAUAAGCUCGGGACAUACACUACACACCUACACAGAUGCUUAUGAUCUCUUGAAAGCACGUGUUCAUCCUGGUUUUGGACUUCUCAGUGCAUAUCCCCUACCCAAUGGACUCAUUCAGACACACACACACGCGCACACGUGUUCACAGACACACCCUUUUUGUGUGUGUACGCAUGAUUACAACUACUGUACAGAGGUCUGUGCGAGCUCGACAGACCACUCGGGCUCGAAGCCCCACUGUGAUGCAUUGUGGAGGAAGCCUUCAUAUCUCAGCCUGGCUUGAAACUGCAUGCAAGGUCCAUCUCAGCAACUCUGUGAGCUGCACUGAGCCCGGGACCCCUAGAUGGUGUUGUGUUAUAUCUCGAUAUUUGCAUGCAGAAAUAGUGCAACACAAGUCUGUCCUUAAUAACUUUUGCAUGAGGAUAUCGCUAUCGAUGUUGAGAAAAGGGCGGGAGGAGCCAGAUAAGAACUGUAGGGUAUGCUGCUAUAAUGCGUUAUAAAUGUGUCCGUGAUGAGGUGGACGCGGUCAAAUAAAUAUUUAGGUUUUGUGCCACAUUGUUUAUGGCUUCACAAUUGUGAAAUGUUAUAAGCUUUAUGUUUUGUUUAUAUGAAGGGUUAUGACUAGUAUUACCGAAGUACUAUGUCAACACACUUUAAGGGAAUUGUUUUUGUUACAUUCAUGAGAUCACCUGUCUUGAUGAUAGGUCAGAGGUUAGAGGUCAUGGUUCAUGGCUACACAGAGAACUACACGGUGUGUGCUGGUCCUCUAUGUCUCAUCCUUGUGUACAUGUAUGUCUGCACCUGUUGUGGGUGUGUGUAAUUAUAUAUUUUGCACUGAAUGUACCAAAGGUUUGGGGAUGGCAUAGUCAACCAUGUCUCCCUAAUUUUGUCAGGUUGACAGAAUUAGGAAUGACCCCAGCCUCGGCCACACAUCCCCUUGAGUUUAGAGGGGCAGCUUCAUGGCAUGCCCAGUAACCAUUCACAACUGUUUUUAAAUCAUUUCUGCCAAUCAAUACAUUUUCCACGCUAAGGAUUUUUCUUCUGCUGCAAAUGUCCAAAUAAGAAUAAAGUCAGUUUGCUCCUCACCCAAUGAGGACCAAGCUCACCGCCAUCACCACUCCCCAUGGCUGAUCAAUUACAUCUGUGUCAGAACUACUCUAUGCAAAAGCUCCUGUAUCUCUCCAUUUCACCACCAUUAUUGUAUUAAAAGACAAUGACAAAUGUCAAGUUUUAAUUAGCGA